rnacentral:rRNA from 1 species
UAGGGAAUCUUCCACAAUGGACGCAAGUCUGAUGGAGCAACGCCGCGUGAGUGAAGAAGGUUUUCGGACCGUAAAGCUCUGUUGUUGGUGAAGAAGGAUAGAGGUAGUAACUGGCCUUUAUUUGACGGUAAUCAACCAGAAAGUCACGGCUAACUACGUGCCAGCAGCCGCGGUAAUACGUAGGUGGCAAGCGUUGUCCGGAUUUAUUGGGCGUAAAGCGAGCGCAGGCGGAAGAAUAAGUCUGAUGUGAAAGUCCUCGGCUUAACCGAGGAAUUGCAUCGGAAACUGUUUUCUUGAGUGCAGAAGAGGAGAGUAGAACUCCAUGUGUAGCGGUGGAAUGCGUAGAUAUAUGGAAGAAUACCAGUGGCGAAGGCGGCUCUCUGGUCUGCAACUGACGCUGAGGCUCGAAAGCAUGGGUAGCGAACAGGAUUAGAUACCCUGGUAGUCCAUGCCGUAAACGAUGAGUGCUAAGUGUUGGGAGGCUUCCGCCUCUCAGUGCUGCAGCUAACGCAUUAAGCACUCCGCCUGGGGAGUACGACCGCAAGGUUGAAAC